rnacentral:rRNA from 1 species
UACGGAGGGGGUUAGCGUUGUUCGGAAUGACUGGGCGUAAAGCGCGCGUAGGCGGAUCAGGAAGUUGGGGGUGAAAUCCCGGGGCUCAACCCCGGAAUGGCCUUCAAAACUCCUGGUCUUGAGUUCGAGAGAGGUGAGUGGAAUUCCGAGUGUAGAGGUGAAAUUCGUAGAUAUUCGGAGGAACACCAGUGGCGAAGGCGGCUCACUGGCUCGACACUGACGCUGAGGUGCGAAAGCGGGGGAGCAAACAGG